CUUUCUGUGCGCUCCUUCUCCUUUCAGCGCUCAAUCCCGGCGAGUGCAGGCAUCACUGAAGACCUGACAGCGGCGGAAUCGGACGUCCUCUGUCCCCGGCAGAAUUAACCAGGUGCUGUCUUAUGCAAACUUUAUAGCGAUCAGAUGUAGCUGACCAUCCUGCCACUGAGAAUGACCCUGCUUCGCCGGAGGAGCAGACUUUUUCCGUCUCCAAACGAUCGGAGAGGCGCAGGGGCGAGACAAUAACGCCCAGAAGUUAUUGAAAUGAAUCGUCAUGAAAGGAGCUGGCAUGAGAAGAAGAAACAGAACGAGCGCUAGGCUUCACCGCAGAGGGAAGGAAGGGAAGCAGAAAACUGUCAGAGCAGAGCGCAACAAGGAAAAGACAAGAGUGAUGAAAGAAAGACAUGAAGGAGGCAUGCAUGCGCACACACAUUCAACGGCACCUAGAGUCUGUCUGCGGUGUACCACCAGCCUGCCACACACACACACUCCUGUUACGGGCAGCAGCUACAGUGGGAGACGCCAUUCCAGCUGUGAGGAGACGGAAGAAGUCAACAUACACACUCACACAAACACACACACACAGGAACACACAGAGCCGGAGGCAUGUGAGCAGGUGAGCAUUAAGUCAGGCAGCUAAACAGAUCACGUCGCGGUAUGAUAUCUGCAGACAGGCAGACAGAGGAGGCCGGUCUGUACCUGCAGGCAGAGAGCAACAACUCACAGCACCCUCGCCAGGAAUUUCCUCCCCCUCCUGAGAGAAAGCGAGAGAGUGACUGAAGGUGAGAGAAAGACAUAAACUGGGGUUUCUUUCACUGUAAGGUGUGUUUUUAUGCUAACCGGAUUUUAAAGUCUGAACACAAACUGGCUGGUAAAUGUUCUUUUUUUGAUCUGAACAGCUUCAGGGUCACAACAUAUUUUAACUUUGACAUUAAGCAGUAUUUUUUUUUCUUAACUAGAAAAAUGUGUUAGGCAGUGAGGACUCAUUUACCAACAAAGUUCAGUCUGUAUUUAAGUCAGCAGUUAAGCUUUUUUUUUUCACCGAAAGUUAAAUUGUGACAGCUUUUGCACAUGGGUUUCUCCCAUCUAAAGCACAUUCAAAACAUAGUACAUUUUUGUUUUUAAAGAACUUGAAAUAUGACCAAAAUUAGCUGGCAAGAGAACUCGGCGCAGAUUUUUUUUUUUUUUUUUAAUUUUCA